rnacentral:rRNA from 1 species
AUUGAACGCUGGCGGCAGGCUUAACACAUGCAAGUCGAGCGGGGGAGGUUGCUUCGGUAACUGACCUAGCGGCGGACGGGUGAGUAAUGCUUAGGAAUCUGCCUAUUAGUGGGGGACAACAUUCCGAAAGGGAUGCUAAUACCGCAUACGCCCUACGGGGGAAAGCAGGGGAUCUUCGGACCUUGCGCUAAUAGAUGAGCCUAAGUCGGAUUAGCUAGUUGGUGGGGUAAAGGCCUACCAAGGCGACGAUCUGUAGCGGGUCUGAGAGGAUGAUCCGCCAAAAUGGGAAUGGGACACGGCCCAGGCUCCUACGGGAGGCAGCAGUGGGGAAUAUUGGACAAUGGGCGGAAGCCUGAUCCAGCCAUGCCGCGUGUGUGAAGAAGGCCUUUUGGUUGUAAAGCACUUUAAGCGAGGAGGAGGCUACUAGUACUAAUACUACUGGAUAGUGGACGUUACUCGCAGAAUAAGCACCGGCUAACUCUGUGCCAGCAGCCGCGGUAAAAC